GACCUCCCAGGACUGCAUCUGGAGAAUAGCUAGUAGUUCUGCCAGCUUCAGAGACGGGAGGGAAAACAAGCCUGUCAGAGACCCAUUUCCAUUCCCAGUUUGCUCAGUAGCUGGUGAUUGGAAAAGACUCUGCGACAGUG
rnacentral:snoRNA from 1 species